rnacentral:rRNA from 1 species
ACGAACGCUGGCGGCGUGCUUAACACAUGCAAGUCGAACGGAAAGGCCCUGCUUUUGUGGGGUGCUCGAGUGGCGAACGGGUGAGUAACACGUGAGUAACCUGCCCUUGACUUUGGGAUAACUUCAGGAAACUGGGGCUAAUACCGGAUAGGAACUCCUGCUGCAUGGUGGGGGUUGGAAAGUUUCGGCGGUUGGGGAUGGACUCGCGGCUUAUCAGCUUGUUGGUGGGGUAGUGGCUUACCAAGGCUUUGACGGGUAGCCGGCCUGAGAGGGUGACCGGCCACAUUGGGACUGAGAUACGGCCCAGACGCCUACGGGAGGCAGCAGUGGGGAAUAUUGCACAAUGGGCGGAAGCCUGAUGCAGCAACGCCGCGUGCGGGAUGACGGCCUUCGAGUUGUAAACCGCUUUCGCCUGUGACGAAGCGUGAGUGACGGUAAUGGGUAAAGAAGCACCGGCUAACUACGUG